rnacentral:rRNA from 1 species
UACGGGGGGGGCAAGCGUUGUUCGGAAUUACUGGGCGUAAAGGGCUCGUAGGCGGCCAACUAAGUCGGAUGUGAAAUCCCCAGGCUCAACUUGGGAACUGCAUCCGAUACUGGAUGGCUUGAAUCCGGGAGAGGGAUGCAGAAUUCCAGGUGUAGCGGUGAAUGACGCGAGCGUAUCAGGAGGAACACCAGUGGCGAAGGCGGUGCUCUGGGCCGGAACUGACGCUGAGGAGCGAAAGCGUGGGGAGCAAACAGG